CAUUAAGUGGCUGAAUAUAAGCUUUGAUCUCUUAAAUCAAUAUAUAGUAUUUUAAUUUACUCUUAAUGA
rnacentral:tRNA from 1 species